GGGGGAUUCUCGUACCCAGAGCCCUUCUUACGCGCGGUGGAUGAAUCUUAAAUAACCACAACCUCGUCCCCAGGGUCUUCUACCCUGGGGACGAGGUUGAAAUAACCAUAAAACUAGGGGAAUAAAUGUUCAUAUCAAAGACAAAGAUCAGUGCCAAGGUAUAAAAUCUGCUCUGUAAACUUACGACGAAGUGGAGAAAUGUGUGCAUAAGCUGUUUAUUUGGUGAUUUCAACGUAUAUGGCAGCCCUCUUUCCAAUAAUAUUCGCUUAUCGCACAGAAUAACACCAACUGAUAUAAUAGUUCAAAUGCAAUGAUAAGUUACCUCUUGAAUUACAUCUCAGAAACUGUGUUGGAAAUGGAAAUGCUGACCAAUUCCAUAAGAUUACCGUUUUACAUAAUUGUAUAAAGCAUUUUGAUCGCAUGUAAGGAAUUAUUUCUCAUCCCAGAGAUAUAGCCCAAUGACUUAACAUUGACGUCCUUGUGAUUUUAUAGAGAUACAGCCAGAACUGAGGAUUUUACAAAGCGAUAUCGGUACCUUCCCAAAGUUGUAGACAAGAUAUGUUGUUUACGUCCAACACGCUUAAAAUUACAUAACUCAAAAUAAUUCGAGCAAAACCGGUCUUUUGUUCAAUGUAGAGACUGGUUCAUAGGAAUUAGUCUUGUUGAGUUAUGCAAUCGUGUGUCUUCAUCCAUCCGUGUCGUUGAACAAUGAAAAAAUUUGUUGUGAAAUUAGCGAAGAUAAAAUAGCAGUUUGUGAGAAAACUGCGGGAAGUUUUCGGAUUUGAACUCAGCGUGUUCGAAAGUGUUAGUUCCCAUAAAAAUAUUUCAGUUCCAAGACAUGCUUAAUGAAAAUCGUUUUCUAGGCUUUUGCGAGAUUUUGGUUUAUUUUUCACAUUUGGAACAGCAGUAACUCGAAAACCACUUGAAAAUCCCAUGCAGCUAACCAUUUAAAUGUCUUAUAUGUAGUUUUUUGUAAGCUUUCUAUUUGAUGCAAGGCAUUUGUAUUAGAAAUGUAUCUGAAAUUUUACAUUUUUUAACUGUCUGUAAUAUAGUUUAAAGAUAAAGAGCAGAGCCCAGCAAAUAACUUUAAAACCAAAC